AAAACAUAAAUUGGAGGACAAUAUGAUCAAUAUUCUCUUUCUCUGUCUGACAGAUAAUACACUGUUUGCAUAACAUAAGAUUAUCUAAAAGUGUAAAUGUUAUGAUUUAAGCAAAAUUGGGGUUUUUUAACGUUUCUACGAGUCUUCAGGUUCCGUCAGUCUCCCUUUGAGUUCAUCACAAAUGUUGGUUCAGAUGUUCUGCGGCCAUGAAAAGACUGACUACAGAGUGAUGCUCUGGUAACAGCAGCAGCUUGGAGAGAAAGCUAUGAAACACCUUUUCUUUAAACUUCAAAGUUGUCGCAUUUGAAGACCAAUUCAUGAUCAUUUCAAUAUCACUGGAGAUUUGGGUGGGAAUAGAGCAAAAAAGGACUCUGUCCCUAAACAGCACGCCAAAUUUCAGAGCCUAUGAAGCUUUCACAGACAAAGAAAGAAAAUAACAGUGUGUACCACAAACACAGAAACACUAUUUAUUUCCAUGAGGUGGCCGUAUGUCUGUAUGUCUGCCCAUUUUCCUGGUGGGAGGGUUUAACAAGAAAUGAGAUAUGAAUAAUCAGCAGAACUGAAUAUACAGUUAUGAAAGCACAGACAACAUAACAGUGGUGUUCUUGAGUUUAGUUAUGCAAACCAACAUGGUAAUUACUUUCUUCUGCAUAAGCCUUAACAUUAUCCUCGUGUCAGGUUCUUCACUCAGUGACCAAGUCCACCAGGAUCCAGCUGAUAUUUAUUCAAUUCAAGGAGAAACCGCAGCAAUCACCUGUUCACACAAUAUAGACACCUAUAAUCAAAUCCUCUGGUACAAGCAAACAAAAAACAGCCAACUGCAGCUCCUGGGAUACAUGUAUUUAACAAGCCCAUCUGUAGAGCCUGGAGUGACUGUGACAAUUGCUGGGAAUGCAAAUAAAGACGAGACCUGCACACUGACAAUUAAAGAUCUCUUCAUGAACAGCAGUGCAGUGUACUUCUGUGCUGCUAGAUUCCACAGUGCUACAUAUCACUGAUCCACAAUACAAAAACCUUCUAAAUGGUAGUUUUUAUCUCUUACAGCUCACAGACACUCGCACCUGUAUUCUAACCAACAUUGAUCUUGUGAUUAUAAUCCUUAGACUUAAAACCUUUAACCUCC
ensembl:lncRNA